rnacentral:misc_RNA from 1 species
UUCAAUCCAGACUAGAUUCAAACAUUUCAUUCAAUCUCAUUUUUUUACUUUCCUUCUACUUCAUAUCCUUUUACCCAAAACAGAUCUGAAUAAAAUACAUAACAAAACCAAAACACGCAUCAAAUUACAAAUUACAUAUACACAAAAUUUUAUAUAACAAAUAUUUACAUAGCAAUUCAUCAAUCAACUUCGCUAUUCAAUCUGCCAAAAUAAAAACCCUAAAACUAAGAAAUUUUCAGUUUCAAUCUGUUUCAUGAUCGGGUGCAGGGGAAUACCAAGCAGGGAAUGUACCUUUGCUUCUCAGCAAUCUCGUAAAUGGCGAAUCUGGCAUUCUCCCUUCCUCUUCUUCUUCUAUUUCCUCUGCAGAUUUCGGCAAUCCAUCUGGUAUCGGACACUCCCUCCCUCUUCUUCCUUCCACCUCCUUCAAUUCCUUCUUCCCCUUGUUUUCGUUUCCUUUCCUCUUCUGUAUGGCCGCGAUCCCGUGUAAGCAUCCGAUCAGCGAUUUCACGCCUCCUGCUUGAAGAAUCAGUUUCUCCACUUCUUGUCUUGGCGAUUCUUUUUCUAGAUCUUUGAGUUCGAAGUACGCUUUCCAACAGCUAUAAGAAUCGUCUCCUUCCAACGUUGAGCAAUAAUCUGCAAGCUCGUUCUCGGAUUUCUCAAUCAGAGGCGGCUCUUUGAUGGCGCGAUCGAGCUUGGUGCGGCUAAACGGCUGGAGCUUCGGGAUAUAAGCAUGGCUUUUGGAAGAACAACGAACAACGGUAGAAGAAAAUCUCGGAGAGGAAGAGGAACCGGUCCGGCGAAGUAGAAGAUCUGUGGCUUCGAGAAGUAAAGGAGAUGAAACGGGACGGAGAAGGGAUGAUUCCAUCGUUGAAACCAAACGGAAAAUUGAGAGCAAUUGUG